UGUAACAAGUGUAUCGUACCGUCCCUUUUGAUCAAUAAAUCCCUUAUUUUACUGCCGUCACGUUUUGGGAACCACACAACCAUAUGCAAUGAUAGAACCACAGACCUUAAGACAAAAUUUAUACACCCAAAAGAACUCAUAAACCCUACAUUGUACAUACAAAUCUCUUAUGGCUACUUCUUGGUCAGAUAAUUACCAACAAAUUCCAUAAAUAUUCUUCUAUUUAAUUUUCUUGAUUACUCCCUUUCUUGUUAGUUCAUGCUUUGUUUUUGAUAAAAAAUUUCUUGGGGAGGCUUCUAUCCCCGAUUUUAAAAGAACCUGAUUUUGAUUUUACUAACGUAUAAAAAAAUUAUGGUUGUUUCUUGAAUGAUGUUUAGGUGUCUUUCGAUUUCUUGAAUGAUCUUGCGUUGUUUUUGGUUUUUGGAAAUGUCUAUGAAAUGUGGAGGUUUUUGUGUUUUUGGGCAACGAUGCACGUAUGAAUUUCUUGAUGUUUAAGGAACCUGCGAAUACGAGAAGAUACAGUCUUGACCUUAAUUCUGCAUAUUAUGAUCCCAAAACCCGAUCCUAACCACAGAUUUUAUGGGCAUUGGAGUUGAAGCAACUCAACAUGUUUUCUUGGGAUGCAUCUGGAAAGGGAGCAGCAGCAGCAGCAGCACAAGUUCAAUUGCAGGCAGCUCCAUCUCAAGCUGAGUUUGUAUUCAAGAAUUAUAAGCUGGAAAAGGAGCAGCUGAGAUCCCAAAUGAAGGAGAAGCUUCCGGAUAAGUAUGGUAAUGCGGCGGAUCAAGACCAACUGCCAAGAGAGGUUCUAUGGGGGGAGAAUUUCCUUGGGUUUCUUUUUACAUAGAAUAAAUUUUGGGCAUGUUCUUGUAAAUUUCUAAUGAGGGGUUUAUAACUAAAUGUUUAGUAAGAUCUAUUUUCUCAGAUUGAUUUUGAAUUUGGGGAAGGAAGAAUCUUGGAAUGUCCUUUAUUUUGCACACUUACUUUGCUUACAUACCAUAUGCUUUCAUGGUAUAACUACAAAAAGACACCUGUGAUUUGACAUUUUUCUUAGCCAGUGCAGCCCGCUACAAUAUAUAUUUUUUUUCUUAUACAAUUUACAACACAACGGCUACCAAACAACAACAUUUCAGUGUGGUUAGCCAUUUAGUGAUCAUAUCUAACGCACUCUCAAGCGUGAGUAAAGUAACCUAUUCGAUACUUCUUUUCCAUUGCAGACUACUUCUGAGUUAUUGGUUCUUCCAUCAACUCUUACUGUAAGUAAAGUAUUCAUCUGGCUGCAGACCAAAGUUUAGUUACAGCUGAAAGGGUGGGGCACAUAUCAGGUGUCCUGACAAUGUAAAUUUGAUCCCCAGCAUUAUCUCUAGAGUCUUGAUUCCGGUACCAGGUCCACAGGGCCCAUGUGUCAUUCUUCACCUGUAAGUCAUACAUCACAACUACUCAUCAACAUAUUUAUACAUGUCCUCUAUAGUCCUUAUUUGCAGAACUAUAAAGUAGAAACAUAUGCUCUGGUGGAUUGUAUCCUACUUGUUCUUCAUAAUGCCCCUUGGGGAAAUUCACCACUCCUCACAUGAACAUCAUGUAUCAUGUUUCGGCACCCACUAGUUAUGGAAAUUUAUUAGUUAUCUAUUCAUUUUUGUAGCUAAAAACAGGUUCUUAGGCACUUAACAAAAUAGUUAUUCUCCACCAUGAUCUUAUAUGCAUGACUUUAGAAUGCACAAUCCCCCCCUUCAUUCAAAAAUGAUUUUGAUGUACUAACAAUUUGUGUGUGUGUGUGUGUGUGUGAGAGAGAGAGAGAGAGAGAGAGAGAGAACCUCCAGGAUCCCAUGGCCAAAGCUACUUUCUCUGAAGGCACUGAAAUCAGGUUGCCGGUCCCAACAGAACUUACCUGCUGCUGGACCAAAUGUAAAGUUUGUUGCGCAAAAUCCACCUAUGAAUGUAUCAGGAGUAGUUGAUGGCUCUGGACAUUUACCAGGUGCAUCAGCAUGUUCAAUUGCCAUCUUCUCCCGAUUACCCCCAUCUCCUACCAUAAUAUGAACAGGACCACAAGGAUCUAAUGUGUAGUUAUAAACUCGAUUUGACCUCUCAUAGGCAUGAACCUGAAGGUUAUUUCCAGUAAAAAAAAAAAAAAACAAA